AUUGAACGCUGGCGGCAGGCCUAACACAUGCAAGUCGAGCGGAGCGGCGGACGGGUGAGUAAUGCCUAGGAAUCUGCCUGGAAGUUGGGGAUAACGUCCGGAAACGGGCGCUAAUACCGCAUACUAUCAGAUGAGCCUAGGUCGGAUUAGCUAGUUGGUGGGGUGAAGGCCUACCAAGGCGACGAUCCGUAACUGGUAUGUGAGGAUGAUCAGUCACACAGGAACAAGGACACGGUCCAGACUCCUACGGGAGGCAGCAGUGGGGAAUAUUGGACAAUGGGCGAAAGCCUGAUCCAGCCAUGCCGCGUGUGUGAGGAAGGUCUUCGGAUUAUAAAGCACUUUAAGUUGAGGGGCGUUACCGACAGAAUAGGCACCGGCUAACUUCGUGCCAGCCGCCGCGGUAAUAC
rnacentral:rRNA from 1 species